AAGAGAGACAUGGUUUUAAAAUAAGCUUGGCCCGUCCCUUUUGAUUUAAGAGGAAAGUUUAACCCAAGUUAGGAUGGUCCAUACAUAGUCAAAAACAGCUUGCCAAAGUAAGAAUAUCAGACUUUAAUGGGAAUGAAUUUCAAGAAUUAGUCAAUUUAGACAAGCUCAAAUGGUACUUUGUGUGAGACAGGCCCGCUAGGCUGAAAACCUGCAAAAGGCGGUCUAGGCAAAAGUAAGGGUCAAAGAAAAAAGAACGAAAGAAAAAAAAAGAAAAAGAAAAAAGAAAAGAAAAAAUGCUAGAUUGAAAACCUACAAAAGGCAGUCUAGGCAAAAGGA
rnacentral:misc_RNA from 1 species